GGUUUUCCUUCAGAAAUGGAGAAGACAGAAAGCUGCGGAGGCAGACAUUUGCAGCAGAUUGUUUGCAGAUAAUGCUGUUCAAGCUCAACAGCUCUUUUAAGAGCUAACCCUCACAAAAAUUCCUAAAAACUAAAAGAGCUAUUACUGAGUCUCAGCGAAUUUUGCCAUGAUCAGCUCUUCCCAGAAGAGAAGGAAGACCAAGGAAAUGAUUUGCUCAUGAGGAAUGAAGACGGCCAUCUUG